CGGAGGAAAAGAAACCAACAGGGAUUGCCCCAGUAACGGCGAGUGAAGCGGCAACAGCUCAAAUUUGAAAUCUGGCUCUCGGGCCCGAGUUGUAAUUUGUAGAGGAUGCUUUUGGUGAGGUGCCUUCCGAGUUCCCUGGAACGGGACGCCAUAGAGGGUGAGAGCCCCGUCUGGUUGGACACCGAUCCUCUGUAAAGCUCCUUCGACGAGUCGAGUAGUUUGGGAAUGCUGCUCUAAAUGGGAGGUAUAUGUCUUCUAAAGCUAAAUACCGGCCAGAGACCGAUAGCGCACAAGUAGAGUGAUCGAAAGAUGAAAAGAACUUUGAAAAGAGAGUUAAAAAGUACGUGAAAUUGUUGAAAGGGAAGCGCUUGUGACCAGACUUGGGCUUGGUUGAUCAUCCGGGGUUCUCCCCGGUGCACUCUUCCGGCUCAGGCCAGCAUCAGUUCGCCCUGGGGGAUAAAGGCUUCGGGAAUGUGGCUCUCUCCGGGGAGUGUUAUAGCCCGCUGCGUAAUACCCUGUGGCGGACUGAGGUUCGCGCAUUCGCAAGGAUGCUGGCGUAAUGGUCAUCAGUGA
rnacentral:rRNA from 1 species